rnacentral:misc_RNA from 1 species
GAUGAAGAACGCAGCGAAAUGCGAUAAGUAAUGCGAAUUGCAGAAUUCAGUGAAUCAUCGAAUCUUUGAACGCACAUUGCGCCCGCCAGUACUCUAGCGGGCAUGCCUGUCUGAGCGUCAUUUCAACCCUCGCGCCCGGCUUCUGUCGGGGGCGGUGUUGGGGAUCGGCCUCCCGUCUUCCGGGCGGCCGGCCCCUAAAUGGAGUGGCGACCGCGCCGUAGCCUCCUCUGCGUAGUAGUGAAACACUCGCGGGCGGAGAGCGGUGCGGCCCGCCGUAAAACCCCCAACUCUUCUAAGGUUGACCUCAGAUCAGGUAGGAAUACCCGCUGAACUUAAGCAUAUCAAUAAGCGGAGGA